rnacentral:rRNA from 1 species
UUGCCUCCUGUUGCUAACAGAUAAUGCUGAGCACUCUGGAGGAACUGCCGGCGAUAAGCGGAAGGAAGGUGGGGAUGACGUCAAGUCCUCAUGGCCUUUAUGCCCCGGGCUACACACGUGCUACAAUGGCUGGUACAAAGGGUUGCAAAACCGCGAGGUGGAGCUAAUCCCAGAAAGCCAGUCCCAGUUCGGAUUGCAGUCUGCAACUCGACUGCAUGAAGUUGGAAUCGCUAGUAAUCGCGGAUCAGCACGACGCGGUGAAUACGUUCCCGGGCCUU